GGGUUGUGAGGUUAAGCGACUAAGCGUACACGGUGGAUGCCCUGGCAGUCAGAGGCGAUGAAGGGCGUGCUAAUCUGCGAUAAGCGCCGGUAAGGUGAUAUGAACCGUUAUAACCGGCGAUACCCGAAUGGGGAAACCCAGUGUGUUUCGACACACUAUCAUUAACUGAAUCCAUAGGUUAAUGAGGCGAACCGGGGGAACUGAAACAUCUAAGUACCCCGAGGAAAAGAAAUCAACCGAGAUUCCCCCAGUAGCGGCGAGCGAACGGGGAGGAGCCCAGAGCCUGAAUCAGCAUAUGUGUUAGUGGAAGCGUCUGGAAAGGCGCGCGAUACAGGGUGACAGCCCCGUACACAAAAGCGCAUGUGCUGUGAGCUCGAUGAGUAGGGCGGGACACGUGGUAUCCUGUCUGAAUAUGGGGGGACCAUCCUCCAAGGCUAAAUACUCCUGACUGACCGAUAGUGAACCAGUACCGUGAGGGAAAGGCGAAAAGAACCCCGGCGAGGGGAGUGAAAAAGAACCUGAAACCGUGUACGUACAAGCAGUGGGAGCCCCACCACUAAGCCAGUGGUGAACUCCACAUACGCAUCCUUUGCUGAGGAUACGGUUAACGGAGCGCAAGCGACGUUCAACCUCAAAAGAAGCAGAGGGGGCUUAGUGGUGGGGUGACUGCGUACCUUUUGUAUAAUGGGUCAGCGACUUAUAUUCUGUAGCAAGGUUAACCGAAUAGGGGAGCCGGAGGGAAACCGAGUCUUAAUUGGGCGUUAAGUUGCAGGGUAUAGACCCGAAACCCGGUGAUCUAGCCAUGGGCAGGUUGAAGGUUGGGUAACACUAACUGGAGGACCGAACCGACUAAUGUUGAAAAAUUAGCGGAUGACCUGUGGCUGGGGGUGAAAGGCCAAUCAAACCGGGAGAUAGCUGGUUCUCCCCGAAAGCUAUUUAGGUAGCGCCUCGUGAAUUCAUCUCCGGGGGUAGAGCACUGUUUCGGCUAGGGGGCCAUCCCGGCUUACCAACCCGAUGCAAACUGCGAAUACCGGAGAAUGUUAUCACGGGAGACACACGGCGGGUGCUAACGUCCGUCGUGAAGAGGGAAACAACCCAGACCGCCAGCUAAGGUCCCAAAGUCAUGGUUAAGUGGGAAACGAUGUGGGAAGGCCCAGACAGCCAGGAUGUUGGCUUAGAAGCAGCCAUCAUUUAAAGAAAGCGUAAUAGCUCACUGGUCGAGUCGGCCUGCGCGGAAGAUGUAACGGGGCUAAACCAUGCACCGAAGCUGCGGCAGCGACGCUGAUGCGUUGUUGGGUAGGGGAGCGUUCUGUAAGCCUGCGAAGGUGGCCUGUGAGGGUUGCUGGAGGUAUCAGAAGUGCGAAUGCUGACAUAAGUAACGAUAAAGCGGGUGAAAAGCCCGCUCGCCGGAAGACCAAGGGUUCCUGUCCAACGUUAAUCGGGGCAGGGUGAGUCGACCCCUAAGGCGAGGCCGAAAGGCGUAGUCGAUGGGAAACGGGUUAAUAUUCCCGUACUUGGUGUUACUGCGAAGGGGGGACGGAGAAGGCUAUGUUGGCCGGGCGACGGUUGUCCCGGUUUAAGCGUGUAGGUGUGUGUUCCAGGUAAAUCCGGUUCACUUUAACACUGAGGCGUGAUGACGAGGCACUACGGUGCUGAAGCAACAAAUGCCCUGCUUCCAGGAAAAGCCUCUAAGCAUCAGGUAACAUCAAAUCGUACCCCAAACCGACACAGGUGGUCAGGUAGAGAAUACCAAGGCGCUUGAGAGAACUCGGGUGAAGGAACUAGGCAAAAUGGUGCCGUAACUUCGGGAGAAGGCACGCUGACACGUAGGUGAAGUGAUUUACUCAUGGAGCUGAAGUCAGUCGAAGAUACCAGCUGGCUGCAACUGUUUAUUAAAAACACAGCACUGUGCAAACACGAAAGUGGACGUAUACGGUGUGACGCCUGCCCGGUGCCGGAAGGUUAAUUGAUGGGGUCAGCGCAAGCGAAGCUCCUGAUCGAAGCCCCGGUAAACGGCGGCCGUAACUAUAACGGUCCUAAGGUAGCGAAAUUCCUUGUCGGGUAAGUUCCGACCUGCACGAAUGGCGUAAUGAUGGCCAGGCUGUCUCCACCCGAGACUCAGUGAAAUUGAACUCGCUGUGAAGAUGCAGUGUACCCGCGGCAAGACGGAAAGACCCCGUGAACCUUUACUAUAGCUUGACACUGAACAUUGAGCCUUGAUGUGUAGGAUAGGUGGGAGGCUUUGAAGUGUGGACGCCAGUCUGCAUGGAGCCGGCCUUGAAAUACCACCCUUUAAUGUUUGAUGUUCUAACGUGGACCCGUGAUCCGGGUUGCGGACAGUGUCUGGUGGGUAGUUUGACUGGGGCGGUCUCCUCCUAAAGAGUAACGGAGGAGCACGAAGGUUGGCUAAUCCUGGUCGGACAUCAGGAGGUUAGUGCAAUGGCAUAAGCCAGCUUGACUGCGAGCGUGACGGCGCGAGCAGGUGCGAAAGCAGGUCAUAGUGAUCCGGUGGUUCUGAAUGGAAGGGCCAUCGCUCAACGGAUAAAAGGUACUCCGGGGAUAACAGGCUGAUACCGCCCAAGAGUUCAUAUCGACGGCGGUGUUUGGCACCUCGAUGUCGGCUCAUCACAUCCUGGGGCUGAAGUAGGUCCCAAGGGUAUGGCUGUUCGCCAUUUAAAGUGGUACGCGAGCUGGGUUUAGAACGUCGUGAGACAGUUCGGUCCCUAUCUGCCGUGGGCGCUGGAGAACUGAGGGGGGCUGCUCCUAGUACGAGAGGACCGGAGUGGACGCAUCACUGGUGUUCGGGUUGUCAUGCCAAUGGCACUGCCCGGUAGCUAAAUGCGGAAGAGAUAAGUGCUGAAAGCAUCUAAGCACGAAACUUGCCCCGAGAUGAGUUCUCCCUGAGACUUAGAGUCUCCUGAAGGAACGUUGAAGACGACGACGUUGAUAGGCCGGGUGUGUAAGCGCAGCGAUGCGUUGAGCUAACCGGUACUAAUGAACCGUGAGGCUUAACCUUACAACGCCGAAG
rnacentral:rRNA from 1 species